GUGUUUCCAGAGACUCAUAAAUAGGUGGCUUGGAAAAAUCAUCGCUGCCCUGUGAGUCCAUCCUUGUCCAGGUGUGAAAAUGGGAGCAGAAAAUAACCCUGGAGCUGGAAAACUUCCUGUGGGCCCAGUGAGGUCCCGUGACUUCCUCUGCACAUCGGAGCUGAGGUUUCCAGCAUUUUCAGCCCUCCCAGUAAUUCCUAUGGAAUGGCAGGGAGAGCCCCAGCUCCAGCCUUUCUCUUCUGUGGGAAAGCAGCUGCUUUUUCUACCACCAAAAGUAAAUUUUGGGUUGAAUAAGGCUGUGACAAAACCUGUGAAAAACCCAGGGUCUUUGUGCCACAUGAACGUGCUCCUGCUUUUUUCCUUCGCCGGAGCGUGUCGUGAUGAAAGCGCGGCUGCGUCACCGGCGGCGUGCCUGAGAGAGCAGCCAGCCACUUCCACAAGGGUAGGAAAAGCAAAUGCCCAAGAGUUUAUGGAGUGACAGAGCCAAUUCUUGUCCUGAUUUAUUGAACCUCCAACUGGAGCACUCCGAUUCCCCUUCUGCCAAGUGAUGUCGUUGGAAUGCCGGGUUAUUUUCUCAUGCGAAAAACCAAAAAGAAGAAGAAGAAGAAGAAGAAGGAAAAAAAAAAUAAAUAAAAAAAUAAAGCCUUGGAACUCUUAAAA
rnacentral:lncRNA from 1 species